rnacentral:rRNA from 1 species
AUUGAACGCUGGCGGCAUGCUUUACACAUGCAAGUCGAACGGCAGCGCGGGCUUCGGCCUGGCGGCGAGUGGCGAACGGGUGAGUAAUACAUCGGAACGUGCCCAGUAGUGGGGGAUAGCUCGGCGAAAGCCGGAUUAAUACCGCAUACGACCAGAGGGUGAAAGCGGGGGAUCUUCGGACCUCGCGCUCUUGGAGCGGCCGAUGGCCGGUUAGCUAGUUGGUGGGGUAAAGGCCUACCAAGGCGACGAUCCGUAGCUGGUCUGAGAGGACGACCAGCCACACUGGGACUGAGACACGGCCCAGACUCCUACGGGAGGCAGCAGUGGGGAAUUUUGGACAAUGGGCGAAAGCCUGAUCCAGCAAUGCCGCGUGUGUGAAGAAGGCCUUCGGGUUGUAAAGCACUUUUGGCGGGAACGAAAAGGACUGUGCCAAUACCACGGUUCGAUGACGGUACCCGAAGAAUAAGCACCGGCUAACUACGUG